UCAUGUCUCUGGGUCCUCAGCCUUUGAGAUUGAGAGGCACCUGGGAAGAACUUGUGGAGUCAUGAGGUCGCUGGACAGAAGUGUUUGGUGAUGCCGAUAUCUUUGCAGGCAAACGAAAGUCCACGUCUUUAGGGCCCGUGUGCUUCCUGACUUACUGUACGGUUGUGAGACUUUGCUGCUAACCAGUGACGGAAACAGUGACUGAAUGACUUUGGUACUGGGUUUCUUCAGAGGAUCCUUGGAUACAGUUGUAACGACUUUGUAUCAAACAACCAAUUUCUUAGGAAGACUAAGAUGAGGUGUAUCACUUCCAUUGUGAGGGAGCACCAGCUUCAAUAUUUUGGUCAUGUGGUGCAUGGCUCUGUGUG